GACGAACGCUGGCGGCGUGCUUACCACAUGCAAGUCGAACGAAGUGGCGAACGGGUGAGUAACGCGUAAACAACCUGCCCUUCAGAGGGGGACAACAGGUGGCAACGACUGCUAAUACCGCAUACUGAAGGAGGGGCGUGCGUCGGAUUAGCUAGUUGGAGGGGUAAAGGCCCACCAAGGCCAUGAUCAGUAGCCGGUCUGAGAGGAUGAACCGCCACAUUGGGACUGAGACACGGCCCAGACUCCUACGGGAGGCAGACGUGGGGAAUCUUCCGCAAUGGACGAAAGUCUGACGGAGCAACGCCGCGUGAGGGAUGACGGCCUUCGGGUUGUAAAGCUCUGUUAAUCGGGACGCGGUACCGGAAUAGAAAGCCACGGCUAACUACGUGCCAGCAGCCGCGGUAAUUC
rnacentral:rRNA from 1 species